UGUUGGUGUAGUGGUAAGGGCUUGGGUAUUGUAGAUGCGAGGUCAUGGGUUCGAAACCCACUGGGAGCAA